rnacentral:rRNA from 2 species
GGGACAAGAAGACCCUAUGAAUUUUUAAAAGAUAUUUUUAAUUAUUGAUUUUUAGUUAUUAAAAAUAUUUUUUUGAUUGGGGCGAUAAAAAAAUAAUAAUUAACUUUUGAUAGAUUCUUUUUUUAGAUUUAAAGAAAAAAAUACUCUAGGGAUAACAGCGUUAUUAUUUUGGAGAGUUCUUAUUGAUAAAAUAGUUUACGACCUCGAUGUUG